AAAUGUAUAUAUCGGCGCAAGCAGCUUCAAUGACGGAUGCAACAUGGAAAUAACUGGCAUCAAUUAUUAUAACAACUUAUUGGUCGUCGUUACUAUUGUUAAAAGAACUGCAGAGUUCAGCGAGUGCGGAGCAUAAAGAACCUUCGAGAAAUACAAGAACAUUUAGAAGAA